rnacentral:hammerhead_ribozyme from 1 species
AUCCCGUUGACGAGUCCGCAAUAAGACGAAACGCGCAUCCUGGAU